rnacentral:rRNA from 1 species
GACGAACGCUGGCGGCGUGCUUAACACAUGCAAGUCGAACGGAAAGGCCCUGCUUUUGUGGGGUGCUCGAGUGGCGAACGGGUGAGUAACACGUGAGUAACCUGCCCUUGACUUUGGGAUAACUUCAGGAAACUGGGGCUAAUACCGGAUAGGAGCUCCUGCUGCAUGGUGGGGGUUGGAAAGUUUCGGCGGUUGGGGAUGGACUCUCGGCUUAUCAGCUUGUUGGUGGGGUAGUGGCUUACCAAGGCUUUGACGGGUAGCCGGCCUGAGAGGGUGACCGGCCACAUUGGGACUGAGAUACGGCCCAGACUCCUACGGGAGGCAGCAGUGGGGAAUAUUGCACAAUGGGCGGAAGCCUGAUGCAGCAACGCCGCGUGCGGGAUGACGGCCUUCGGUUUGUAAACCGCUUUCGCCUGUGACGAAGCGUGAGUGACGGUAAUGGGUAAAGAAGCACGGGCUAACUACGUG